rnacentral:rRNA from 1 species
UACGAAGGGGGCUAGCGUUGUUCGGAAUCACUGGGCGUAAAGGGCGCGUAGGCGGCUUUGUAAGUCGGGGGUGAAAGCCUGUGGCUCAACCACAGAAUUGCCUUCGAUACUGCAUGGCUUGAGACCGGAAGAGGUAAGUGGAACUGCGAGUGUAGAGGUGAAAUUCGUAGAUAUUCGGAAGAACACCAGUGGCGAAGGCGACUAACUGGACAUGUAUUGACGCUGAGGUGCGAAAGCGUGGGGAGCAAAAGGG